CAUUUGUACAGAGACCAUAUGCUCCUUGAACCGUCACAAAGAUAUCUGCAUCUCUUCAAGCUUAUCGGCUGACUUGCAAAAGAGACUGCUUUUCUGGGGUGAUUGCUGGGAGAAACAUUUUGAUAAAAUUUCUAUCGAGGAGAGGAGCAAGUUUGAUGAAGAAACUCUAUACAACGUGCAAGGAAUCAAGAUGAAGAAAAAAUAUUUGAAACCCGGCCUCGGAAAAGAAAACGAGUAUCUGGUGUUAACCAUUCUUCUUGCUGCUGAGGGAAAAUUGGAGUUCCCCAUAGUCAGAAGCGCUUCUGAUCUGACCACAGUACUGGGAAUUCUCAACUCUAUACAUGCAAAC